rnacentral:rRNA from 1 species
GGUGACGGUUAACGGGAUACGAGAGUGUGAUACCGGAGAGGGAGCCUGAGAAAUGGCUCCCACAUCCAAGGAUGGCAGCAGGCGCGAAAAUUGUCCACUCUUUAUAGGAGACAGUUAUGAAAAGUAAAAACGGUGGGUCUUGUAAAGAAAGAUUCUAAAAUUGGAGGGCAAGUUUGGUGCCAGCAGCCGCGGUAAUACCAACUCCAAGAGUGUGUAUGAGAGUUGUUGCAGUUAAAAGGUCCGUAGUCGUUCAUGGAAAUAAGGCUUCGGCCUGUGCUCAAUGUGGAGGGGCUGAUGGGGACCAUAGUAUACAGUGGCGAGAGAUGAAAUGUCUAAACCCUCUGUGGACUCAGCGAGGCGAAAGCGGUGGUCUAGUAAGUACUCGGUGAUCAAGGACGAAGGGUAGAGGAGCGAAAGUGAUUAGAUACCGCUGUAGUUUUACCAGUAAAAGAUGCCGACUAUCCUGGCGUGCGCGGGCGAAAGCGAUGCGCAGGCUGGGAAUAGAGAAAUCGAUAAGUGUUCGGGCUCUGGGGAUAGUAUGCUCGCAAGAGUGAAAAUUAAAGAAAUUGACGGA